rnacentral:tRNA from 1 species
UCCUCGUUAGUAUAGUGGUCCACGUAUCCCCGCCUGUCACGCGGGGAGAGCCGGGGUUCAAUUCCCCGACGGGGUGAA